ACUGUAUGUCCCACGCAUCUCUCCAGCACCGUGGCUCAGCACACACCCCCCAGUGUUCUUUUAGCUUUCCCUGUGGGAAUCCAUGCUGUGUCACCCCUGCACUAGCCACCCUACAUUGCAUCUGCUUUGGAGCCAUUAAUGGGGGCUGACUUCUGAGCAAAUGGAGAAACAAAGGCACAAGAUGGGUUUGGGCUAAGUCACAGCACACCCCUGGCUGGUUUGCUUUGGUGUCACAUGACCUGUGUCCUGGAAUGUGUGGAGGACAGCCUGGAGUCACUGGAGCCCUGCAGACCCUCUGUGGGUUUGCCUGUGCAUAUCUGGUUCUGAUGGUGGAUGAUGUUCAAUUUUAAAAUGGAUUUUUCAGCCUGGCGUGGUGGCUCACUCCUGUAAUCCCAGCACUUUGGGAGGCUGAGGCUGGUGAAUCAUGAGGUCAAGGGUUCGAGAUCAGCCUGGCCAAUACAGUGAAACUCCGUCUCUACUAAAAA
rnacentral:lncRNA from 10 species